CCCCCAGAGUGACUAGCUACUGAAUCCUUGAUGUGUCAUCAAGGAUAAGGUAAAGGAAAAUAAUGAUAUUACUUUACUAAUAGUGUCGUCCAAAUACUCGUGCCAGAAGACUCGGUAAGGCGAGAGACGCAAACGUUAUUCGUCUUGAUCAGGCGUAAAGGGUUUGUAGGCUGUUUUAAGAAUUUUAUAAUAAGUUUACUAUUAUAAACCUAUAAAAAAAGUAAUUUUACUUUCCUAAGUUCAUUUUAAUGAAUAUGGAAAUUAAGGUAAAAUUGCUUUAUAGUUUAUAAUUUUAUUAUUUAAAUCAAUUAAAGCUAGAAUCUAAUAGAGGUUAAAACAAUACUUAAGGUAGGAGUACUAACCGUAAAUAUUAAGCAGAGUUUUAAAGGCGAAGGCAUUUAACCACUAAAGAUUGACGCUGAGAAACGAAGGUGAGGGCAGAAAAAAGGAUUAGAGACCCUUGUAUUCCUCACUGUCAACGAUGAAUGGUAGUUACUAGUUAGAAAUAAACUAGAAACGAUGUUAACACGAAAACCAUUCCGCCUUGUGAGUACAACUGCAAAGUUGAAAACAAAAAAAUUAGUCGGUUUCGGAGCAAACGAAGUGAAGCAUGUUAUUUAUAUAAA
rnacentral:rRNA from 1 species